rnacentral:rRNA from 1 species
CGUGUAGGCGGACUCGCAAGUCGGUUGUGAAAUCCCUGGGCUCAACCUAGGAACUGCAUCCGAAACUGCUUGUCUUGAGUAAUGGAGAGGGUGGCGGAAUUCCCGGUGUAGAGGUGAAAUUCGUAGAUAUCGGGAGGAACAUCAGUGACGAAGGCGGCCACCUGGACAUUUACUGACGCUGAGACGCGAAAGCGUGGGGAGCAAACA